rnacentral:tRNA from 1 species
GUUUCCGUAGUGUAGUGGUUAACGCGUGCGCUUUACACGCGCAAAGUCCGCAGUUCAAACCUGGGCGGAAACA